GACGAACGCUGGCGGCGUGCUUAACACAUGCAAGUCGAACGGAAAGGCCCUGCUUUUGUGGGGUGCUCGAGUGGCGAACGGGUGAGUAACACGUGAGUAACCUGCCCUUGACUUUGGGAUAACUUCAGGAAACUGGGGCUAAUACCGGAUAGGAGCUCCUGCUGCAUGGUGGGGGUUGGAAAGUUUCGGCGGUUGGGGAUGGACUCGCGGCUUAUCAGCUUGUUGGUGGGGUAGUGGCUUACCAAGGCUUUGACGGGUAGCCGGCCUGAGAGGGUGACCAGCCACAUUGGGACUGAGAGACGGACCAGACUCGUACGGGAGGCAGCAGUGGGGAAUAUUGCACAAUGGGCGGAAGCCUGAUGCAGCAACGCCGCGUGCGGGAUGACGGCCUUCGGGUGGUAAACCGCUUUCGCCUGUGACGAAGCGUGAGUGACGGUAAUGGGUAAAGAAGCACCGGCUAACUACGUG
rnacentral:rRNA from 1 species